CACGAGCAAGAUGUUUGAGAUCUUUUGAUUGAACACUCGCGACACGGGAAAACAAAGUUGAUAGUUGUAUUUCCAGCAUCUACCAGAUCUGUUUUGUGUUGGAUGGCAUUGUGUUAUUUUUAGUUUGGGUUGGUGGGUAGGAAUAUUUUUAUAUAGACAACGGAUCAAAGAUUUUUCGAUUUUGCUAGCUAUUUUUGGGUUGGGUGCAGGGCCUUAUCUAUAUGAUCCGUUGUGCGUGUCACUAAUUAAAUUAGUUAGAUUUUUGUAUACAUUUGAGAGCAACUGAAAUAAGCUUUCCCAGUUGGUUUUGUG
rnacentral:lncRNA from 1 species